rnacentral:rRNA from 1 species
GCUCACUGAUAAGAUUAUUAAAGAGCUGCGGUAUAUUGACUGUACAAAGGUAGCAUAAUCAUUAGUUUUUUAAUUGAAAACUUGUAUGAAUGGUUUGACAAAAUAAAUAUUGUCUCUUUUAUUAAGAUAAAACUUAACUUUUAAGUGAAAAGGCUUAAAUUAUUACAAAGGGACGAUAAGACCCUAUAAAGCUUUAUAUUUAUAUUUUAUUUUAAAAAAUUAAUUUAAUUAUAAGUUUUAAAAUAUUUUAAUUAACUGGGGCGGUGCAUAAAUAAUUGUUAUUUAACUUUAUGAAAGUAAAACAUAUAUGUAUGAUAAGUAUUAAUUGAUUCUUGUAAAAGAUUAAAGUAAAGUUACUUUAGGGAUAACAGCGUUAUUUUUUUUGAGAGUUCAUAUCGAAAAAAGAGAUUGCGACCUCGAUGUUGAAUUAAAAAUUCUAUUUAGUGUAGCCGUUAAAUGAGAAGGUCUGUUCGACCUUUAAAUUUUUACGUGAUCU